rnacentral:rRNA from 1 species
GAGGAGCCUGCGGCGGAUUAGCUAGUUGGUAGGGUAACGGCUUACCAAGGCGACGAUCUGUAGCCGGCCUGAGAGGGCGGUCGGCCACACUGACACUGACAUACGGGUCAGACUCCUACGGGAGGCAGCAGUCGGGAAUUUUGGGCAAUGGGCGAAAGCCUGACCCAGCAACGCCGCGUGAAGGAUGAAAUCCCUCGGGAUGUAAACUUCGCAAGAACGGGAAGAAUAAGUGAGAGUUAACACCUCUUACGAUGACGGUACUGUUUGUAAGCUCCGGCUAACUCCGUGCCAGCAGCCGCGGUAAUACGGGGGGAGCAAGCGUUGUUCGGAUUUACUGGGCGUAAAGGGCGCGUAGGCGGCCACCGCAAGUCGACUGUGAAAUCUCCGGGCUUAACUCGGAAAGGUCAGCCGAUACUGCGGGGCUAGAGUGCAGAAGGGGCAACUGGAAUUCUCGGUGUAGCGGUGAAAUGCGUAGAUAUCGAGAGG